UACGUAGGGGGCAAGCGUUGUCCGGAAUCAUUGGGCGUAAAGCGCGUGUAGGCGGCCUUGUAAGUCCGUUCUGAAAGCCGGGGCUCAACCCCGGGAGGCGGAUGGAUACUGCAAGGCUCGAGUACGGAAGAGGCGAGUGGAAUUCCCGGUGUAGCGGUGAAAUGCGCAGAUAUCGGGAGGAACACCAAUGGCGAAGGCAGCUCGCUGGGACGUUACUGACGCUGAGACGCGAAAGCGUGGGGAGCAAACAGG
rnacentral:rRNA from 1 species